GAUCCCCUGUUGUUGUUUUUGCAUUAUCGGCAACAUGGAUACCCACCUUCUAUUCUUCCCUUCAAACCAUGAAGGUACUGGAGACCAGAAGAGAGAGGCCAGUAGACCAUAGACUAAGAUUUUUUGGAAUCCAGAUAUACACUUGAGUCCAGUGUCACCAUCCCCUGCAGUGCAUUUUGGUAAGACUCGCUAGGCUCCAUCAGUAAUUUUGUAUUUUGUAUUCAGGCAUUAAAAUUUGUUAUGUAGAUUAUGAACUCAUGUAAUUAUUUGUAAAUUAUGUAAAUUAGUGAAAAUUUCAUGUAUGGAACGAAUGAAUUUGUGAGUUUUAGAUUAUUGAGAUGAAGCAUUGAAAUUGUGAAGAAUUUA
rnacentral:misc_RNA from 1 species